ensembl:lncRNA
CGUCAUGCACGUCCCUGUGAUAGAGCUGUUACUAUGGAAACGAGUGAGAAUUGUUAAUACAGAAUAAACCCGCUGUUAUAUACAGUCAGAAUCUACAAUACAGAAAUGCGGUGGUAGGAUGAACAUUUCAUGCAUCAUUUAACGCCUUAAACUCUCAGCAUAUUGUUUGGUCAGUUAUCUUCAAGCAUGUUGUUCUGUAACCAAAAAGAUACUUCUGGAGUUUGGCGAGUUUGGUGGAGUGUUGAAAGUGAAAUCCCUUUAGAUUCCAUACAUCUCUUGGUCUUGAAUUCCCAAUAGAUUCAUUUCUUCUACAGGUCUCGAAUUUCCAAUAGUUUCCAUUCUUCUACAGAUUUUGCCAUCCCCUUAGAUACCAUACUCCUCCAGGUCUCGAAAUCCUUUUAGCUUCCAUUCUUCUCCAGGUUUUGAAAUCUCUUUACAUUCCAUUCUUCUCCAGGUCUCCAAUUCCCUCUGCAUUCCAUUCUUCUCCAGGUCUCAAAUUCCCUCUACAUUCCAUUCUUCUCCAGGUCUCAAAUUCCAUUUCCAUUCCAUUCUUCUCCAGGUCUCCAAUUCCCUUUAGAUUCCAUUCUUCUCCAGGUCUCCAAUUCCCUCUACAUUCCAUUCUUCUCCAGGUCUCCAAUUCCCUCUACAUUCCAUUCUUCUCCAGGUCUCCAGUUCCCUCUACAUUCCAUUCUUCUCCAGGUCUCCAAUUCCCUUUAGAUUCCAUUCUUCUCCAGGUCUCGAAUUCCCUUUAGAUUCCAUAGUUCUCCAGGUCUCGAAUUCUCUCUACAGUCCAUAGUUCUCCAUGUCUCCAAUUCUCUCUCCAUUCCAUUCUUCCCCAGGUCUCCAAUUCCCUCUACAUUUCAUUCUUCUCCAGGUCUCCAAUUCCCUCUACAUUCCAUUCUUCUCCAGGUCUCCAAUUCCAUUUCCAUUCCGUUCUU